AGAGUUUGAUCAUGGCUCAGGACGAACGCUGGCGGCGUGCCUAAUACAUGCAAGUUGAGCGCUGAAGGUUGGUACUUGUACCGACUGGAUGAGCAGCGAACGGGUGAGUAACGCGUGGGGAAUCUGCCUUUGAGCGGGGGACAACAUUUGGAAACGAAUGCUAAUACCGCAUAAAAACUUUAAACACAAGUUUUAAGUUUGAAAGAUGCAAUUGCAUCACUCAAAGAUGAUCCCGCGUUGUAUUAGCUAGUUGGUGAGGUAAAGGCUCACCAAGGCGAUGAUACAUAGCCGACCUGAGAGGGUGAUCGGCCACAUUGGGACUGAGACACGGCCCAAACUCCUACGGGAGGCAGCA
rnacentral:rRNA from 1 species